ACGAGGAUGCUUUAUCAAAUGAAGACAAAGAAAAUGGAGGAGUGGAUGCUAUUUUUGAUGAAACUCCUUAUCUCAGGCUCUUCCUUUCCCAAUGCGCUUCUUGCCAAAUGGUAGGACCAAUCUACAAAGCUGGUGGAUUUGCCUUUGCAUUCCCAAAGAACUCUACCUUGGUCUCGAAUUUUUCAACUGCAAUAUUGGAAGUGACUCAAAAUGUGACGAUGUUUCGUCAGAUGAGGGAGAAAAUAUCUUUCCCCAUCACAGUUGACAGAUCCGAAUAUAAAAGUAGUAUUGAGACGCGAAGUUUGAAGAUAGGCGACUUUGGAGGCCUUUUCCCAAUCAUAUUGUUUGUUUUGGUUCUCUUCUUCUGCCUUUCAAUUCGUAACAAAUUGGUUUCAUGUUGGCACAAUCUCUGUCGGAGAGAGUAAUAUUAAUUAGUACCUAACUAAUUAAACAUCUGUAAAAUCAGUGUGUUUUAUGUUUGUGUGUGUAGCUUCUACUAUUGUGAAUAGUCCAAGUGAUAAGAAUGAGGUGAUGAAAGACUUCAAAAAGUUUACGACCUUCUGAUUGUACAUACGUGUGGCUUGGUGUUAUUUUGUAAUCAAUAAUUCUUCAAGUUGUCUCUUAUCUUCAGUUGGCUUAUUAUCUGGUCA